CAAUAGCGUAUAUUAAAGUUGUUGCGGUUAAAAAGCUCGUAGUUGGAUUUCUGCUGAGGAUGACCGGUCCGCCCUCUGGGCAGGUAUCUGGCUCAGCCUUGGCAUCUUCCUGAAGAACGCAGCUGCACUUGACUGUGUGGUGCGGUAUUUAGGACAUUUACUUUGAGGAAAUUAGAGUGUUUCAAGCAAGCGCACGCCUUGAAUACAUUAGCAUGGAAUAAUAAGAUAGGACCUCGGUUCUAUUUUGUUGGUUUCUAGAACUGAGGUAAUGAUUGAUAGGGAUAGUUGGGGGCAUUCGUAUUUAACCGUCAGAGGUGAAAUUCUUGGAUUUGUUAAAGACGGACUACUGCGAAAGCAUUUGCCAAGGAUGUUUUCAUUGA
rnacentral:rRNA from 1 species